rnacentral:rRNA from 1 species
CCUACGGGUGGCAGCAGUGAGGAAUAUUGGUCAAUGGGAGGAAUCCUGAACCAGCCAUGCCGCGUGCAGGACGACGGCUCUACGAGUUGUAAACUGCUUUUGUACCGGGGUAAAAUGCUCUACGUGUAGGGUUUUGAAAGUACGGUACGAAUAAGGAUCGGCUAACUACGUGCCAGCAGCCGCGGUAAUACGGAGGAGCCGAGCGUUAUCCGGAUUUAUUGGGUUUAAAGGGUGCGUAGGUUGUUUUAUAAGUUAGCGGUGAAAUACCGAUGCUCAACAUCGGGGCUGCCGCUGAUACUGUAGGACUAGAGAUCGGAUGCAGCAGGCGGAAUGUGUAGUGUAGCGGUGAAAUGCAUAGAUAUUACACAGAACACCGAUGGCGAAGGCAGCUUGCUAGGCCGGAUCUGACACUGAUGCACGAAAGCGUGGGGAGCGAACAGGAUUAGAUACCCUUGUAGUC